CUCUGCUGUUUGUGGGGCGUGCUAGAAACGUGGUCCUAAAAAGAAUGGCGUCCAUUUACAUAAUGCUUUGUUUGCGUUUCGCAAGUUUCUUUCGGUUAAAGCCACAGAAACCCCACCUCCUGCCCUUGUGUCGUUUCCACCGCGGCACCCUUUUCCGACAUUAGAAACAAUAGUGUACGCCUGUGGAGGCCUCGUUUGUUCAGGGGCUGCCGGCCAGGGCUUCAGGACGUUUCUGCGGCUUUCCCCGCGCGGCCUGGGCUCCCGCGGCUGCUUUUCGGGCCCAUGGGCGCAGCCACUGCGCCAGGCUCAAGGGGGGCGGCCCCGUCAGGGCCCGCCAUCUUGGAAGGCCUUUUUUGCCGGUUCUUCCCGCUGAGGAAGUGUCGCUCAAGACGCUGGCCUAUGAGUUGUGAUUUCUGCCUUUUCCCCUUCCUCCUUGGGCUAAGCCAGACCAGAAAGGGCCCCGUGCGCAACGUGCUUCACAAUCUCUCAGGGAAAGCGGCUAACGUGGCGCUACUCCGCCUCCCCUGUUCCUUACCCUUGGGGCGGCCGCCAUGUUUCCUGAACACAAAAUGGCGACACGUGGUUAGCAUUCGUCGCCAACGAGAAAUUGGGGUCGGCCCGAAAGCUCUAGAAUGCACCCCUCUUCCUCCCCGGGGCCUUCCACCUCCGCGAGUUUUAUGACUUAAAAAAGCCCACAGGCUGGUCUGAAGAGGAAGACAAACAUAAAGAUGAAGUGCUUAAUUCAAGGUCACACAAUGUCGGGGAUGGACCUCCAGAUUUCCUUACUGGUGAGACGUGGUCUUGUAACACAGUGGUUAAGAAUGUGACUUUGGAGCCAGCCUGCUAGGGGCUGAAUUCUGACUCAGCCAUUUACUAACUGUGUGACCUUAGGGAGGAGGACCUGGUUGAUAGAAGAAUUUAUCUCGUAGUCUUAACAUCCACUGUAAUUCCAAACUUUGAGGACGAUAGAGAUCAGUGGGCUUUGACUGCCCAGCAUGCAGUCUCCAUUCUUAGGUGGGUUCCCAAGCCUGUAAAAUGUAAGCCUUAUGCUGCUGAGGGCCAUCUUGCCACCCUGAGGGAAACGCUGCCUGAGAAUGAAACAAGCAUAAGUAAAAGCUGAGCUGUGAGAUGGAGCAAGAUGAAGGCCACAUGACAUCUUUGGAGCACCUGGAUCUAACUGUGCCUUAAGCUAGUCUAACCCUGAACAUUUCAUCAUUUCAUUGACAUGAGCCCAGGUUUUCUUUUUUUUUGGAUGGAGUCUUGCUCUGUCGCCCAGGCUGGAGUGCAGUAGCUCAAUCUCGGCUCACUGCAAGCUCCACCUCCCGGGUUCACGCCAUUCUCCUGCCUUAGCCUCCCAAGUAGCUGGGACAACAGGCGCCCACCACCACUCCCAGCUAAUUUUUUGUAUUUUUAGUAGAGACGGGGUUUUACCAUGUUAGCCGGGAUGGUCUUGAUCUCCUGACCUCAUGAUCCGCCCGCCUCGGCCUCCCAAAGUGCUGGGAUUACAGGUGUGAGCCACUGCACCCAGCCCUCAGGUUUUCCCUUUUUUUACCCCUCCUUUUGAAAAUUUGAUGUGGAAUUUUGCCACCUGCAGCCAGAAGAGUUUUAACUAAUCAGUGCCAUAAAUUUUAUAUAGUUCUCCUUGCAAAAUGUGGAUCAGCCUUUCUCAGCAAAUCCUUUGUCAUAAAGUGCUGAAUUGUAAGUUUGUCAUGAGAAUCACAUGAGAUCAUGCAUGUGAAGAACCUGGCAUUAUCCUCCUCAUAGAAAAAAACCAGUAAAUAUUAACUACAGGAAGCAAGGAAGGAGUGGGGUGAGGGGAAGAAGAAGGGGUACUGAUUUAAAAGAACCCUGGAGUCCUAAGGAUAAUCUAGGAACCCUCAGACCCAAUCCGAUACCCCUAUUCUAAAUGCUCCUAGUGCCCUGUACCUUCCCCUCAUAAGCCUUCAUUAUCAUUGUAAUGAUAUGUUUAUGUAAUAUUUUGAUUAAUGUCUCUCCUUCACUGACCUAGCAGUUCUAGCAGGGCAGUGAUUUUGCUGUGUUGCAUCCCCAGCACCUAGUCUGGUAUGUGGCAUUCAGCAUAUGUUUAUUGAAUGAAUGGCCAUGUGGUUAUUCAGAUCCUCCUUGAUUAUUGGGGUUAGGAUUGUGGCAGAAGUGGCAAAAUCAGGGAGAGUAGUCCCUGUCCCCUCUGUAUCUUAUACACUGCCCACACUCCCAACACACAUACACAUACAGAGAAUUUUGUCUCAAUUAGAUAAUUAACUUCUGCUUGGUUGUAAACCAAACCACUGGUUCUUAAACUUUCAUUGGAUCAUUUUAUUGAAGAAUUAAAUAGUGUGGUUCUGGCCUAAUGUCUGGAAAGCCUUGCAGAGGAGUGGAUUAGGUCUUUGUGAUAAACAGGCAGCCUUCCCUGCUCCUGUGUCUUUAUAAAAUCUAUUUAACUGGAGUAGUCCACCCUCCCUCAGGCUCUUACAGGAAUAUGUUGGAGGCUGUAGGAAGGUGGGAAACCGAGAGGGAAAGGACUGGGCCGCUGGAGACUUCACUCAUUCCCUAGCAAGAAACAAAAGCAGUAAAAGGUGGCCCGAGGACAACCUGAAGCUCACUCCUUCAGCACUUUUGGCUGGAGGUCACUUGUUGGAGCCCCACUCAGAGCUCAGCACACCACCCCACCAGCAGCCUCCUCCUCCCAGCUGAGGCUGCAUUUCAUCCCUUCCCCCAGCCUGCUUUCCCUGAGAUAGGGGAGUGUUUCCCAGGGCCCAUGUGACUUCCACUGGCAAGUGACGAUUACCAAUGGUUUACUAGUCAGUGAAACUACCAAAGGCUUUUGUGCUGUAGUAAUCCUUUUCCUGUUUAAAACUCUGGGGAUUUUCUAAUGUUGCCAAUAGUUUUUCAAGUCAGCAAUUACUGUGUGGAUUAUGUAAUGGCUCGGUAUUAAAAAUAGAAAAGACUGGAGUUUGCAUCUAUUUUAACCAAAUCUUGAAAACAGAGCAAAGGGAGGGGAAGGGUGGAGAGGGAGAGACCAGAGGAGGAGGGAGAAAAAGAGAUCAUGUGACUGGAUAAGACAGCUCACAAUUCACUGUGCCUUUCUCCCACCAUUUGUGGCCCAAGGACCUGUACUCCCUCCUCAGCCUCCUCUAGGGAGGGGUCCUUGAUGAGAAUUCUGAGGACACAAGACCCCUUGUGGAUAUUUCUUAGCUCAGCCUUGGUGUGCUUACCUGCUUCUGACAAGCAAAGUGGCCAAGUAGGGGAGGGAGUUGAAUCUGAUGUCCUCCACUAAGUCCAGGACUCCUAUUUUGUUUUGUUUUGUUUUUGAGACGGAGUCUUGCUCUGUCACCAGGGUGGAGUGCAGUGGCACAAUCUCGGCUCACUGCAACUUCUGCUGCCUGGGUUCAAGUGAUUCCCCUGCCUUAGCCUCCUGAGUAGCUGGGACUGCAGGUGCGCACCACCACGCCUGGCUCAUUUUUUGUAUUUUAGCAGAGAUGGGGUUUCACCAUGUUGGCCAGAAUGGUCUCAAUCUCCUGAGCUUGUGAUCCACCCACCUCAGCCUCCCCAAGUGCUAGGAUUACAGGUGUGAGCUAC
rnacentral:lncRNA from 1 species